rnacentral:sRNA from 1 species
UGUUAUCAAUCUUGUUGCUUCGGGGGCGACCCUGCCGACGACUUCGUGAAGGGGUGCCUGAGCAGUUCUUCCAAACGCUGCAUCUUUGCGUGUGAGUAAACAACAAAUUAAACAAAACUUUCAACAACGGAUCUCUUGGUUCUGGCAUCGAUGAAGAACGCAGCGAAAUGCGAUAAGUAAUGUGAAUUGCAGAAUUCAGUGAAUCAUCGAAUCUUUGAACGCACAUUGCGCCCUUUGGUAUUCCGAAGGGCAUGCCUGUUCGAGCGUCAUUUCACCACUCAAGCCUGGCUUGGUAUUGGGCGUCGCGGUGUUCCGCGCGCCUUAAAGUCUUCCGGCUGAGCUGUCCGUCUCUAAGCGUUGUGGAUUUUUCAAUUCGCUUCGGAGUGCGGGCGGCCGCGGCCGUUAAAUCUUUAUUCAAAGGUUGACCUCGGAUCA